AGGGCUUCGGCCCCGGUAAAGUGGCGCACGGGUGAGUAACACGUGGGUAAUCUGCCCUCGAGCAGGGGAUAACAUUCCGAAAGGAGUGCUAAUACCGUAUAAGACCACGACCUCGAAAGAGGAUGCGGUCAAAGCUGGCCUCUAUACAUAAGCUAGCACUUGAGGAUGAGCCCGCGGCGCAUCAGCUAGUUGGUGGGGUAAUGGCCCACCAAGGCUAAGACGCGUAGCUGGUCUGAGAGGAUGAUCAGCCACACUGGAACUGAGACACGGUCCAGACUCCUACGGGAGGCAGCAGUGGGGAAUCUUGCGCAAUGGGCGAAAGCCUGACGCAGCGACGCCGCGUGAGUGAUGAAGGCCUUCGGG
rnacentral:rRNA from 1 species